rnacentral:rRNA from 1 species
GAGAGGCCCAAACGUUAUUCGGAUUUACUGGGCUUAAAGAGUCCGUAGGCGGCGCAGAAAGUGGGGUGUGAAAUCCCUCGGCUCAACCGAGGAAUUGCGCUCCAAACUCCUGUGCUUGAGGAACCUAGAGGUGAGCGGAACUGAUGGUGGAGCGGUGAAAUGCGUUGAUAUCAUCAGGAACACCGGAGGCGAAGGCGGCUCACUGGGGGUUUUCUGACGCUGAGGGACGAAAGCCAGGGGAGCGAACGGGAUUAGAUACCCCGGUAGUCCUGGCCGUAAACGAUGAGCACUAGGCCGGAGGGCUGCACAGCCUUUCGGCCGUAGCUAAAGUGUUAAGUGCUCCGCCUGGGGAGUAUGGUCGCAAGGCUG